AGUUAUUCCAGAUAUUAAAUGGCUAUCUGAAAAAGGAAGAAUCUUUUCCUCAUCUUCUCUGGAAUGGUAGAAUUCCCAGGCUUCUGGAUCCUGGUGGAGCGCCCUUGGCAGUGGAUCCUGAUGUUCCCUUUUCACUUUCCCGGGACGCAGAGUGAUGGUUAUGAGUACACAGGGUAAAGAACAUCUGGC
rnacentral:lncRNA from 1 species